rnacentral:miRNA from 1 species
UUCUGCCUCUGUCCAGGUCCUU